rnacentral:rRNA from 1 species
UACGGGGGGGGCAAGCGUUGUUCGGAAUUACUGGGCGUGAAGGGCUUGUAGGUGGCCAACUAAGUCAGACGUGAAAUCCCUCGGCUUAACCGGGGAACUGCGUCUGAUACUGGAUGGCUUGAGUUCGGGAGAGGGAUGCGGAAUUCCAGGUGUAGCGGUGAAAUGCGUAGAUAUCUGGAGGAACACCGGUGGCGAAGGCGGCCUGCUGGGCAGUAGCUGACGCUGAGGCGCGAAAGCUAGGGGAGCAAACAGG